GACGAACGCUGGCGGCGUGCUUAACACAUGCAAGUCGAACGAUGAAACCUAGCUUGCUAGGUCGAUUAGUGGCGAACGGGUGAGUAACACGUGACUAACCUGCCCCUUUCUCUGGGAUAACGCUUCGAAAGGAGUGCUAAUACCGGAUACUCACACCGAGGCACAUGCCUUGAUGUGGAAAGUUUUUCGGAAAGGGAUGGAGUCGCGGCCUAUCAGCUUGUUGGUGAGGUAACGGCUCACCAAGGCGACGACGGGUAGCCGGCCUGAGAGGGCGACCGGCCACACUGGGACUGAGACACGGCCCAGACUCCUACGGGAGGCAGCAGUGGGGAAUAUUGCACAAUGGGCGCAAGCCUGAUGCAGCGACGCCGCGUGAGGGAUGAAGGUCUUCGGAUUGUAAACCUCUUUCAGUAGGGACGAAGCGAAAGUGACGGUACCUAAAGAAGAAGCACCGGCUAACUACGUGCCAGCAGCCGCCGUAA
rnacentral:rRNA from 1 species